rnacentral:tRNA from 2 species
GCGCCCGUAGUUCAGUUGGAUAGAACGGUUGCUUGCGGAGCAACAGGUCGCAGGUUCGAGUCCUGCCGGGCGUA